GCAUAUCAAUAAGCGGAGGAAAAGAAACUAACAAGGAUUCCCUUAGUAACGGCGAGUGAAGUGGGAAUGGCUCAAAUUUAAAAUCUGACCGGUUUCUGGUCCGAAUUGUAAUCUAAAGAAGCGUUUUCCGCGUCCAGCUCGAGUAUAGGUCCCUUGGAAUAGGGCAUCAGAGAGGGUGAGAAUCCCGUCUGUGACACGAGUUUGGAGGUGAUAUGAUACGCUUUCGACGAGUCGAGUUGUUUGGGAUUGCAGCUCAAAAUGGGUGGUAAAUUCCAUCUAAGGCUAAAUAAUGGCAAGAGACCGACAGCGAACAAGUACCGUGAGGGAAAGAUGAAAAGAACUUUGAAAAGAGAGUUAAACAGUACGUGAAAUUGUUGAAAGGGAAACGAUUGAAGCCAGUCGUGCUGGCGGGAAAUCAGCUUUCGGGAUUACUGGAAGUGCACUUUCUCGCAAGGCAGGUUAGCAUCAAUUUCGCACGUUGUAAAAAGUCCGUCGGAAUGUGACUCCUUUCGGAGUGUUAUAGCCAGCGGUCAAUGCGACGCGUGGGAUUGAGGAUUGCAGCGGGUGCCUUUUAGGCUAAGUGCCUGGCCCUUGUUCGUGAUCGUCUUGGCAACAGCGUGCUGGUGUCGAGAACGAUUCGUGGCCAUGGGGUGUAGCGUCACGGUAAACUCGCUAAGGAUGCUGACGUA
rnacentral:rRNA from 1 species